rnacentral:lncRNA from 1 species
GGCCCUUCGAGGCGCGCAGCGAGUUCGAGCAGAUGACGAUCCUCUACGACAUCUGGAACGCGGGGCUGGAUGCCGAGGACAUGCACUUCCUGCGGCUCACCUACGAGCGCCUGCUGCAGGAGGACAACAGCACCGACUGGCUCAACGACACCCACUGGGUGCACCACACCGAUAUCCCUGUGCCGGGGCGGAUGGGGAGGCCGGGGGGCGCCGGGAUGUCCGGGUCUUGGAGGGUGGAGACGUCCAGGUGUUGGGGAUAUGGAGGACUGGGAUGUUCAGGUCUUGGAGAAUUGGGGUGUCCAGGUGUUGGAGACCUGGGGUGUUUGGGUGUCGAGAUGCUCAGGUGUUGGAGAAUGGAGACAUCCAGGUGUUGGAGGCGUGUGGUGUCCAGGUGUUGGGGAUAUGGAGGAUUGGGUUGUCCAGGUGUUGGAGGCCUGCGGUGUCAAGAUGUCAGGAGAUGGGGUGUCGGGAUGUUUGGGUCUUGGAGGAUGGAGACGUCCAGGUGUUGAGGGACUGGGGUGUCCGGGUGUCGGGAGACGGGGCGUCAGGAUGUUCAGGUGUUGGAGGACUGGGUUGUCCAGGUGUUGGGGAUAUGGAAGAUUGGGAUGUUCAGGUCUUGGAGAAUGGAGACGUCCAGGUGUUGAGAGACUGGGGUGUCCGGGUGUUGGGGAUAUGGAGGACUGGGAUUGUCAGGUCUUGGAAAAUGAUGGCGUCCGGGUGUUUGCGGAUGGGUCUCUGGGUGUUUGUAGACAGGGUUUCUGGGUGCUGGGGGAUGGAGGUGUCUGGGCGUUGGGGGAUGGAGGUGUCCGGGUGUUUGGGGACAAGGUGUCCGGGCGUUGGGGGAUGGAGGUGUGCAGGUGUUUUGGGGACGAGGUGUCUGGGCGUUGGGGGAUGGAGGUGUCCGGGUGUUUGGGGA